GACGUAGGGCGCGAGCGUUGUCCGGAUUUAUUGGGCGUAAAGAGCUCGUAGGCGGUCUGUUGCGUCGGCUGUGAAAACCCGGGGCUCAACCCCGGGCCUGCAGCCGAUACGGGCAGACUAGAGUUCGGCAGGGGAGACUGGAAUUCCUGGUGUAGCGGUGGAAUGCGCAGAUAUCAGGAGGAACACCAAUGGCGAAGGCAGCACUCUGGUACGUGACUGACGCUGAGACGCGAAAGCGUGGGGAGCAAACAGG
rnacentral:rRNA from 1 species